AUUGAACGCUGGCGGCAUGCUUUACACAUGCAAGUCGAACGGCAGCGCGGGCUUCGGCCUGGCGGCGAGUGGCGAACGGGUGAGUAAUGCAUCGGAACGUGCCCAGUAGUGGGGGAUAGCCCGGCGAAAGCCGGAUUAAUACCGCAUACGACCUGCGGGUGAAAGCGGGGGACCGAAAGGCCUCGCGCUAUUGGAGCGGCCGAUGUCGGAUUAGCUAGUUGGUGGGGUAAAGGCUUACCAAGGCGACGAUCCGUAGCUGGUCUGAGAGGACGACCAGCCACACUGGGACUGAGACACGGCCCAGACUCCUACGGGAGGCCGCAGUGGGGAAUUGUGGACAAUGGGGGCAACCCUGAUCCAGCCAUGCCGCGUGCGAGAAGGAGGCCUUCGGGUUGUAAAGCGCUUUUGUUCGGGAAGAAAGCCUCUGGGCUAAUACCCCGGGGGGAUGACGGUACCGGAAGAAUAAGCACCGGCUAACUACGUG
rnacentral:rRNA from 1 species